rnacentral:tRNA from 1 species
GGUGGGAUGGCGGAGCGGCUGAACGCGCCGGUCUUGAAAACCGGUUUCGGGCUCGUCCCGAACGUGGGUUCGAAUCCCACUCCCACCG